AUGGGAGAUUCUGAAAACAUGUUCGAUUUUUUUUCCACGUUUUCACGCGGAGCCAAGAAAAAAAAAACCCGCCUCGCACCGGCAGUCUGUAACCACGCCCACUCGAAUGACAUCUCUCGCAGGCCACGCCCCGCACACCUGUCCGCCAGGUUCUGCGAGAGAGAAGGGAGCUGGUUCAUUUUUUCAUGUUCGGGCAGGGCACGCUUCGCACUAAAUGGAGUAUAAAUGCAAGUAUAAAUAUUUCGU
rnacentral:lncRNA from 1 species